CAGUCUCUUCGGAGGCGUGGGUUCGAAUCCCAC
rnacentral:sRNA from 1 species